CAUAUAUUUUCUGAAUCGUAAACGUAUGUUUCGUAAACGCGCUAUUCUUGUUUCAGAUAUUCCACAACACACAACGUAAGAAAAAAGGGUCACCGACCAGCGUCGUCGCGAACCAAUGAAACUACUUCAAAGUCACGUGAUUCUGUUUAUCCGAUUCCACGUUCCAGAUGAACGCUAUUCAGUAACGUUGGACGAUAGAGUUUAUGUUUACUUGCGACUGAUACCAGUGGAGAAAAGUGAGGUUAUAUUCGAAAGCGCCAAACGGUAAUACGGAGAACUAUUAUCGUUCCAUUGGUGUUUUCGCGGGCCAGCUACCAUAUUGCUAAUUUCUCCUUGGAAUGUUCGUUUCCUUCGAAUUAAACCAAGUAUACGCACAUCCCUCCCAAGACACAACAAUCUACGGAAGGUUCUAAGAAUUAUCUUACCUGUCCACGGGUGGUGCCCCUCGCGCGGCCCCAUCCCCUUCCACGCGCCCAGACCGAGAGAGAGGCACGUCAGUGUAACGCAGAGCGUAGAGCAGAACGGACCGAAGCGUCUGCGUCGUCGUGGAACGCGCAUCCUAACGGUACGGGAGUGGGGGAAGCUCUUGGACACGUACAGUGGCCUGCGGACAAGCGCACGUUAACGCGAGGAACGUCAUUGGUGUAGCGGUAAGUUGUAUUUUCAGUGUCUCGGUUUAUUCGUUUUAUUGUAACAACAACUCAUGAUAAAUAAGAAGCGAAAUAAUCUUUCGUACGAAACAUUGAAAAGUGAGUAGGGACAAGUAUGAUACACAUUCGGUAACUAGAAAAAUGACUUUUCGAAUCGAUCCAAACACCAAAUCCAGAAGCAAUAUUUUCACCGGAGUCGUGCGUCCAAGAUUCGCCGUAUAGAUCGAUAACGUCGCGCCUUAUCUACAAGUACGAGACACAGUCGGUAACUAGAAAAAUGACUUUUCGAAUCGAUCCAAACACCAAAUCCAGAAGCAAUAUUUUCACCGGAGUCGUGCGUCCAAGAUUCGCCGUAUAGAUCGAUAACGUCGCGCCUUAUCUCCCAAUCGUAGCCAACGUUCGGGCCACGUUCUAACGUCGUAUGACGCGCAAUUACCGUACAAUCACGAUUACGAUCGCUGGCAACCAAUAGCGGUUUUUGUUUACUCACAAGUGUAGAACGCAUAAUCGCGAAGCAAUUACGCGUCCAGUAUGCCGUGCGUCCGCUUAAACGCUGAUUACUCGACUCGCCCGAUACGAGCUGUGUAAUUGCGCUCGCUUUCUUUUUUCUCUCUCUCUCUCUUACCUACAGUUUCAACGUCGUUAUACGCGUUACUGUCGUCGUGUCGACGACGUACAGCGGUUGCCAAACGAUUGCACACGGUGUGUUUAUUAAAAUAUUAAUAGGUAUUGAAGCAUCGAAAUAUUCGAAUACGGAGAAAUCGAGGCUUGUUCGAGAGACGCGAACCGUUGGCAGCUGCACCGAAUCUACGCGUUCCGAUAUUCACGGUGUGUAUCGGUACGCAUCGCGGUGUCCUUAUCGAACGCAAGCAACGGCAUAACGGAUUCAAGGAGAAGUAGAGGGGAAAAGAGAGAGCGAUUAUGGGAAGGGUCGCGGUGGCAAAAGACGGCUGUGAAUAUCGGAGCAUGCACGCACCCUCGGCCGAGGAGAAGAUUCGAUUCCGACGGGCGUCGGCACGUCUCCGCUGAGUCGUAUGCCGAGCAUACCCGCGAGAAUGUGCUCGUUUCCCCGGCUGCCAUCUUGGUUUUGCGUGAUGUCACAGCGUGGCCUACUUCCGAGCGCUCCACGUGCAAGGGUCGUCGGACCCUGUUCUCCUCUAGCCCCCUUUUGCCUAGACAGAGCGCUGUUGCUGUCUCUAAAGACCUACCAAAUGCUCUAGCGAACCCUCCUCCCUUGCGGAGCCAACCAGCGCCCAGGAUUCCUCCGCACCCGACUCUCUAUUCGCUUCCACCGCCGCCCUGUCGAUUCCUCUUCCUCUUCCUUUACCUACGCUCCCCUUCUUCCAAUUCUUUCGUCCUCCGCUUCUGCACGCUCCAAGCUUUUCGUCCAAGUCUUUCUCGACUUCCCUCUCGUCGCUUUUUCAUCGAUUCAUUUAAUUCGACGAUCAACUUUAUAUACAGUCAGCGUAACAAGUAUUAGGUUGUCCCGAAAGUUUCUUUCGCUUUAUUAAUAAGUAAUACAUGCACAAUAUUUGAGCCGUUUAUUUUGAAAGUGGCCCAACCUCGUUUAUCUUCGAAUCGAGAUAUUGAAGGGUUUGCGUUUCAAUGAAUUUAAAAAUAUACGUAUAGGAUACUAAUGUGUCGUACUGCUCGAGUGUAUCUAAGGGUGUUAAAUUUAUAGUUCCUAUUAAAAUAGGGCCAAUUGUUAAGUGAAUAAUAUGCGUUUUCAUAUCAAGAAUGGAGUUGGGCCACUUUCAAAAUUAACAACCAGAUUCGUUAUAAAAUUUGAAGGUGCCCAAAGUCCAUUCAGCAUCGUUUAAGAUGCUGCAAAUUGAAAAAAAAAAGUUUAUUAUUAUUAUAUUAUUAAGAACUACUGGAAAUUAUCUCUUUCCAGUACUGUAGUUCUUCCAACGUGUAUUUUUACUCUGUUCGCUCUCUCACAAUUUGCUAAUCAUCCUAGCUAUCAUUCCAUCUAGUGAGAGUGAAUUGAAGUAGACGUGUGUAGUACGCGAAGCGCGGCAGGUUCAAAUGAAGAAAGCCUACUUUCUUUACAUAUAUAUAUAAUACGUAACAGCAUUCGUAAAUAAAUAAUUCACCGUUGUAAAAUUUAAGUGUAGGAUUCGAAUGCGAAUUCCAGGCCCUGCGAAAGGUCGCGCCGGCCCUGAUCGCACACGAGAUAACGAUGCACGCGUGGGUACGCCGGUUUUCCAAUUCGACGGCCACCCACUUUUCCCGAGUCGAGCGGAAGAAUCCCAAAAAGGGUCGACGCUCGAUUUAUAGCGCUACUUUCGAUCUUACUCCGCGUGUGUCUUUUCGUCUCCCGACCACCGUUGCGCGUUCCUUAAUCGUCGACGAGAGUCUCUCCGUGCUCGAGGUCGACAAUCAUCUCGGACUCGACGCUUGGCACAUUUUUUUUCCCGGCUCGAACGUAACGGCCGCGCGUCCGUUGUUGCGAAAGAAUGGAAUCGCGAAUACGCGUUUCCCGCGCCGCGUAAUUACCCGGACGCGUUGAAAACGUCGAGGAUCUAAUCGAAUCAGCCUCGUCGCUGGCUUCCAUCGGAAGUAUAUUAGCGCGCGACGAAUGAAACAAAAAUGUUUCUCCGCGAGCCAGAUGGGUGAUGGAAAUGUAAUUGCGGUUGGGCGUCCAGUCCGUCCGCAUCGAUCGCGGGCCGCAGUUCGUAAACUAACCGGCGCGCCGGGUUCCAGGUCACUGGGUCAACCCUUCCAUCGAUCCAACCCCUCUAUUGAAAAUUCGCCCGCCUCGAGACUGUCCUCGUCCUCGCCGCUGAAACCUACCCACCUCGCCGUUGCAUUCGGCCCUUUCGAUCGUACUCCCUUCUCUCCUCUUUCGCAUCCAGCCGCGAUACUAAUUAUUUACGAGUCCUCC